AUUGAACGCUGGCGGCAUGCCUUACACAUGCAAGUCGAACGGCAUCGCGGGAAAGCUUGCUUUCCUGGCGGCGAGUGGCGAACGGGUGAGUCACACAUCGGAACGUACCGGCUAGUGGGGGAUAACCCGUCGAAAGACGGGCUAAUACCGCAUACGCUCUUCGGAGGAAAGCAGGGGACCUUUGGGCCUUGCGCUAGUCGAGCGGCCGAUGUCCGAUUAGCUAGUUGGUGGGGUAAAGGCCUACCAAGGCGACGAUCGGUAGCGGGUCUGAGAGGACGAUCAGCCACACUGGGACUGAGACACGGCCCAGACUCCUACGGGAGGCAGCAGUGGGGAAUCUUGGACAAUGGGGGCAACCCUGAUCCAGCAAUGCCGCGUGGGUGAAGAAGGCCUUCGGGUUGUAAAGCCCUUUCGGCAGGGAAGAAAUCGGCGGGGCGAAUAACCCUGCUGGAUGACGGUACCUGCAGAAGAAGCACCGGCUAACUACGUG
rnacentral:rRNA from 1 species